rnacentral:rRNA from 1 species
CCUACGGGGGGCUGCAGUGGGGAAUAUUGGACAAUGGGGGGAACCCUGAUCCAGCCAUGCCGCGUGUGUGAAGAAGGCCCUCGGGUUGUAAAGCACUUUCAGUGAGGAAGAACGCCUGGUGGUUAAUACCCAUCAGGAAAGACAUCACUCACAGAAGAAGCACCGGCUAACUCCGUGCCAGCAGCCGCGGUAAUACGGAGGGUGCGAGCGUUAAUCGGAAUUACUGGGCGUAAAGCGCGCGUAGGUGGCUUGAUAAGCCGGUUGUGAAAGCCCCGGGCUCAACCUGGGAACGGCAUCCGGAACUGUCAAGCUAGAGUGCAGGAGAGGAAGGUAGAAUUCCCGGUGUAGCGGUGAAAUGCGCAGAGAUCGGGAGGAAUACCAGUGGCGAAGGCGGCCUUCUGGACUGACACUGACACUGAGGUGCGAAAGCGUGGGUAGCAAACAGGAUUAGAUACCCUAGUAGUC